CGGGCGUCUAAGGCAGGUCCCACUACAUCGCCUUACUGAUGAGUCCAGUAGUAGGGGACCAGGACGAAACGCCGC
rnacentral:hammerhead_ribozyme from 14 species